rnacentral:lncRNA from 1 species
UUCCUAUCAAACACAUCCCUUGUCUCUCCUUUUUUCCGUCAUUUUUGUCUUCUCCGAUAAACUCACGAUGCUGGAGCGGUCUCUCCAUUUUUUCGUUGCUCCAUCAAAUAAUAGUCACCAGUCAUUUUUCCCCUUUUUACACAAUCAUCGUCAGAGCUUCGACUCCAACAACUACCACAUCCCCGCGCGGAAUUAUAGUGGAGCAGCCAGAUCUGGUUGGACUUGUCCAAAUGAUCAAAAUUAUUGAAUUUUGAUGGAAUUGUUUGAUGAUGGAGGAGAAACGGAGUGGAUAGUGAAACUGUUGGUUGCUUCGGCAACGUAAGUUUACCGUAGAAGAUGGGGAUUGUUUGAUUGGCUAUUGUUUGGUGACUGAUUCACCGGAUGAAGUUAAUUGCGAAGGUAAUACUCUGUUCAAACAAAUGAAGGUUGAGUGAUGGUGGUGGUGGAGAUCUGGUUAGAGUUUGGUGGUGAUACCAAAGCUCUUGCCGAAGAAAAUGAGAAAAGGGAAGUAAUGGUAUGUUAGUGGUGCUGGUGAAGUUCUGGCCGAAAUUUGGUUGUGGUGACGAAAAAGAGUGGUAUGCGGUGGUGGCAGCAUUGUGAUAUAUAUUAAAAUUGAAUUAAAAG